ACCCUUUAAUGUUUGAUGUUCUAACGUGGACCCGUAAUCCGGGUUGCGGACAGUGUCUGGUGGGUAGUUUGACUGGGGCGGUCUCCUCCUAAAGAGUAACGGAGGAGCACGAAGGUUGGCUAAUCCUGGUCGGACAUCAGGAGGUUAGUGCAAUGGCAUAAGCCAGCUUGACUGCGAGCGUGACGGCGCGAGCAGGUGCGAAAGCAGGUCAUAGUGAUCCGGUGGUUCUGAAUGGAAGGGCCAUCGCUCAACGGAUAAAAGGUACUCCGGGGAUAACAGGCUGAUACCGCCCAAGAGUUCAUAUCGACGGCGGUGUUUGGCACCUCGAUGUCGGCUCAUCACAUCCUGGGGCUGAAGUAGGUCCCAAGGGUAUGGCUGUUCGCCAUUUAAAGUGGUACGCGAGCUGGGUUUAGAACGUCGUGAGACAGUUCGGUCCCUAUCUGCCGUGG
rnacentral:rRNA from 2 species